rnacentral:siRNA from 1 species
GCAGGUGAACCAGAUGGGUCUGU